UACGUAGGGCGCAAGCGUUGUCCGGAAUUAUUGGGCGUAAAGAGCUCGUAGGCGGUUUGUCGCGUCUGCUGUGAAAACCUAAGGCUCAACCUUGGGCUUGCAGUGGGUACGGGCAGACUAGAGUGCGGUAGGGGAGACUGGAAUUCCUGGUGUAGCGGUGAAAUGCGCAGAUAUCAGGAGGAACACCAAUGGCGAAGGCAGAUCUCUGGGCCGUAACUGACGCUGAGGAGCGAAAGCAUGGGGAGCGAACAGG
rnacentral:rRNA from 1 species